CCUCCGCGUGGUCGGAGCUCCAUAUGCAGAGGAGAUCCCAUUGUUCUGCAGGUCAACUAUGCCUCCCAUGGACAGUCAUCUCCAUUGGAGCCCUUGCAUCAUCCCACCUCCCAGCGCUCAUGCCGUUCACCGCUGCCAAAUCCGGCUGUUCAACGAUGUAGCACCAGGAGGUUCAGCGCCUCAACCCCUCUGAAUCCCAUGUACUGAUGCUCAUCUUCUGCUUCCUUCUUCAACCCGGUGAUGUCGAGUACAUGGUGCGCUGCCACCAGCUUGAUUCCACUUGGGCUUUGUCUGCCAUGUUUUUGUGCGUGUGUGCUAUGUGUCUUAUUUGUGUGGCGACUGAACUUGUGCCUCAGAUUAUUUUGAACUGCUGCUUCUACAUUUGUUCAGUCCAUUUAGUCUCUGUUUGACUUCUCUUACAUUGUAUCCUGUAGGGGUACAAAAGUUUUCCGAAACAUUGUUCCUGUUAAUGUCUAUAAGAGCUGUUGUUCAGCAGAUUUCUGGUCGUAGUCAGGUGGAGACAGGGUUUGGCUCUGUGUUAAGACGAGAGGUUGCCACACAAUAAAAUGAGAUUUGCAUGCGUACUUUGACAUUGGUUUUCUCCUAGAUUGUGUUUUUGAUUUUGUUUACGUGAGAAAACAAUCUGUAUUGUAGAAGUUCAUUUCUUAUUGCCCGAGAGUUCAUGUAUUACUACCAAAAAAUUGACAUUUCAGAACACCAAUAGGAAAAAACAGCCAGCAGAAGUCCGUUCAGCAGUGGCGAGGCCAUUCGGUGACGCGAACCAAGGUCGUUCACUGGAUCAGUGUCAUCCCGUCGAUCCCCUCUUUGGCGCGCGCUGCUCGGCCUCCCACCAUGCAAGUCCACCACUCGUUGCGUGCUGCCACUAUUGGGGCCGGCGAGACCCACCUGCCCACCUCCUAUCCCCGCCUGUGGCCGCUUCUGAAGUCCAGCCUGACUAGCCUAUUCAGUUCGAUGUGUGGGUCACUAUCCCUGGAUACUGCCAAGCUGCACCAAUACUUUUAGUUCCUGUUCCUCUCAGACUCAGUGUGCUCUACGGACGGGGAGGCAUGGAGUUGUCGAGUAGUAUGGGAGGCGAGCUGCUACUGCGAUGGGGAGGCAGUCCAGCACCCAGUUCGGUGCUCUGGGAGAAACUGAAGAGCUUCCUGGGCAUAAACAAGCAGAGAAGCUUCAAGUUCCUGUCCAUGGAGAAGCAUCAGAGUUUCGAGGGGAGGAGGAGCAGGGACAACCCUGGAAAGAAGAGGGUGAUAGCGCACCACCUCGCGGCAAGGACCGGCAAUAUCUGCCAUGUCCGACAAAUGGUGCAGUUGUUCCGUUUGCCUCAUUCAAUUUGGUCCAUAGACUGUUGCCAUUUGAUAUAAGUGACAAAGAACAACUUCAACUGAAGAAACUAUUGUUGUUGUUCAGUACAGAGUACUACCAAACAUCAAGCUCAAUCUUGCCCGCUUUGAUGCUAUGUACGAGUGGAUAAGAUAUACAUUGUGUUUGAUGCUAUGGAGCAAUGGAUAAGGUGGAUAAGGUGGCUAAUAAAAAAUUUGGGAGAUGGAGAAUAAAGGUGUGUGGUAGAAAACCACUCGUACACUUCUUUUAGGAAAAAAGGGUACACAAAAAUUAUACUUUGUUCAUUGCAUAUAGACUUACUCUGAUUCAAUUUGA